GGCCAGUGUUCGCCACCGUACGAAGUAGUAUCCCAGUGCAGUCACUCCUGCCUGGAAGCUGAAACACGACCCCAGGCCUAAAGUGGACACCAUCUAGUUUUCAAGAUCCAAUGGGAUUAGUCCCAAAGCAGCAUAGCCUGGCUGAAGAAAUGAAUCUCUUCAUUGUGUUAGAAAACCCCCAAGAGCUGAACGUCAGUCACGUAGGAGAAAUAUUUGGAAAGGAGAAGUUCCCGUCUGUUACUUCUGUUCAAAACCAACAUGUUCCUUUGUUAGGUGUCUCCACACUGCCCCAGCUUGGGAGUGGUGAAAUACAAACCCAGGGAACUUGGGAGGGAUGUUAUCAUAGAUUAUAUUAUCCCAACACAUUCCAAGAUUGAAAGCCCCCUCCCUUCCUCACAGCCAAAAGGCUGAGAAGCUGCUAAACAGAACAGACAUCUUUGCUCUCCAUUUUGCCCUCUGGAGACCUGAAGGUUUUUCCAGAGAGAAACACUUUGCAGUGAGCUUGGCUGGAUGAGGUGCGUGUUGAAGGGGUGCGAAGGGCAAGUCUGGCUGCU